rnacentral:lncRNA from 1 species
CCAUGGGCGCAAGUACCACAUAUGGUCUGUAUGUAGACCAGGUAAGUGCCAAAAAAAAUUUCUGCACUUUCCAUUCUCGGUAUUUUGGAAUUUUGUUACUUACUUUUCCCACAUCCAGUCCACAUGUACUACAUUCGGUCAGCAUGUAGACAUAGGUAAGUGCCAGAAGUUUUUCUUCAUAUCUUGCACUCUCUGGAUCUUUUAUUCUAGUACUUACCUUAAUCACAUAUCGACCAAAAGUGGUAUAUGUGAUCCAUAUGUGAAAAUAGGUAAGUGCUAAGCCUUCCAAUUCUUACAAAGAAGCUUUCGGACUUCAAGUUAUAACACAUGCUUUGGUCACGUACAUCUGGUAAGUGUCAUAAACGCCCAAAAAUGAUAAAGUAAGUAGCCAAAAAUUCUUUUUUUCAUAUUUUUCUUGAAAUUAGCAUUCAAAACCUAGUAUCCUAUAAAACAUACCCUAAACACAUCAUAUAUAAUAGACCAACCUAAGAAAUUUG